AAUGUACUGCUGGGGGUAGGGAAUGGUCAGGGGCGAGACCAAGCCAGGAUUUGAAGGUGGGGCUUCCUGAAGGGUGGGGGCAGAUUUGCAAGGCAGAAAUAGAAAGAUUUGCAAGUCAGAUCUGGAAGGAGGAAGUAAAAGGAGGAAGCUUUCUCAGAGAAGCAAGAGGCUGGGGGACUGCAUGAGAGACUGGUCACCCAUUGCUGUCGAGUUGAUUCCGACUCAUAGCGACCCUAUAGGACAGAGUAGAACUGCCCCAUAGGGUUUUCAAGGCUGAAAUCUUUACGGAGGCAGACAACCACAUCUUUCUCCCAUGGAGCGGCUGGUGGGUUCGAGUCACUGACUUUUCGGUUAGCAGCCAAGCAUGGACUGGCCAAGCUUCUCUCUGACUGGUACAUCUGCAGUCCUACUCAGCGCAGAGGCAGUGAAACUGCAGCAAACAACUUGGCGUCUGCUUCCUGGUGGGUUGUUCUCUAGGACACAGCAAAGAAAGCAUGAAGACCACCGGCUUCAAGGUUGACCUAAUGCAGUCGAUUUGAUUCCUGUGUAUUCCAUCCGGCGAGGCCCAUGUGUACAGUUGCCGUUUAUGUUGUUGAAAAAAGAUUGAUGGUGCAAAAGCAUUGGUGGGUAAUACUGCUGGUACCUGAGGACAAACCAAAGCAGAGGCAUCGCGCCGAUUUAAGAGGUCGUGCCCUUCACUAUCAUGCACUCUCAGUCAAAAAAAAAGAGAGAGAAAGAAAGCCAGAUUCACAAUGUCCUUGAUGAAGCAAUGACAAAUACUAAUUUUAUUCAAUCUUGACCUUCCAGUACUUGCCUUUUUGAUCCCAUUCUGUAUGGUGAAGUGCAUAGUAUGAGUAAGACACUUCUACUGAAGAACAAUGACCACCUCCAGGCGAAGCACUUGUGCAAUUGUUUGAGUUGUAAACUGAACUCCCUGCUCUUUUCCUGGAACAACAUUUUUACGGAAGAGCUUGAGACUGACAGACAAAGUGUGCUUAUUCAGACUUGAAUAUUUGGCAGACAUUCUCUUGAAUAUAAACGAAGAGAGCCAGUCACUUCAAGGAAAACAACUGAUAGUAUUUGUUGCCAAUGAUAAAAUUUGAGCUUCAAGGGAAAAUUGGAAUGUGAGUCGGAAUCGACUUGAUGGCAAUGGGUUUGGUUUGGUUUUUUCUAUUAGCCAUCUUCCCAGUACUUAAAGACUUUUCUGAUGAGAUUUGUGGUGAUACUAACAAAUGGGAUUUUUUUAUAUUAUAGAAAGAAAUGUGUCAACAUUUGAAAAAAUCUGUAUAGCUUGGUGAACUAAUAUUUUCCAAAUGACCAAGGCAUAAUGUUACAAAGUCAUGCAUGGGUAAAAUGACCCAUUCAAAGUGCAAGAAAGGCCAAUGGGUUUUAUGUUACAGAGUAUGAAAGUUCAGGGAUGUGGUUUCAGAAUUCACACUGUAACUAACCUUUAAGAAACUAUCACUCGAUGAGAUCUGGAGUGGUAACAAGGAGGAAUAUCCACAGUUCUCUGAAAAGGCUAUUAAAAUACUCCGCCCUUUUCCAUCUGGAAACCCUGGUGGCAUAGUGGUUAAGUGCUCUGGCUGCUAACCGGGGGGUCGGCGGUUUGUGAUCCACCAGGUGCUCCUUGAAAACCCUACGGGGCAGCUCUCCUCUGUCCUCUAGGGUUGCCAUGAGUCGGAGUUGACCGGACAGCAACAGGUCUGGGUUUUUUUUCUUUUCCAUCUGCAUAUCUGUGUGAGGCUGGAUUUUCUGCACAUACUUCAACCAAAACACCUUAAUGCAGCAGAUCGAAUGCAGAAACAGAUAUAAGAAUUGAGCUGCCCUCUAUUAGUCAGAUAUUAAAGAUAUUUACAAAAAUAUAAAACAAUGCCAUUCUUCUACCAAUUUCAUUUUGUUUUGGAAAACAGUUAUUGUUCAUCAAAAUAUGUUAUUUAAGUUAACAUGUAAUGAGAUCGUUAUUGUUAUUUUUAAAAGAAUAAAAAAAUUAAACAUUUUAAAAUUCUCAGUUUUAGUUUCUAAUAUCGUAACUAUUGACAGAUAUAGCCCGUAUAAACAAAAGCUCUGGGGAUCCUCAAUAAUUUUUUAGAGUGUGAAGGGAUCCUGAGGCCAAAAUGUUUGGGAAAAGCUGCCCUAGUCUAAGAUGGGUCUAGUUCCUUUACCCCCUCUCCCAGUUUCAUCUUUUAGAAGUUCCAUUUAUUGAGUAUCUACUCUGGGCAAACGUUCUCUUUGGGCCUCAGUUCCUUCUCAUUUACAACUUGGAUGAAACAGUUAUGAGAACAACCUUUGGCUCCCAGUCUCUACAUUCAGCAAAUGCCUAGGUAGAUUUUCUCCAAGUUAUUUUCUUCCUCCUCUGUUCAUUGCAUUCACUCAUUCAGUAAAUAAACAUACAAUGCCCUUUAACAAUAGAUAAUUUUUUUUUUUAAAUCAAACACUUACCUGUACCAGAUUCUGCACUUUAUAUGGGUUAUCUCAUUUAAUCCCUCAACAACCCUACAAGGCAGGUAUUAUUCCCACUUUACAAGUAAAAAGACUGAAGGCUAAAUGAGUGAAGUGACUUGUGGUACAGUCCAGAUGUGAUCCAGGCCUAGUGGACUACGGACCUUGGGGUUUUAGCCCUUCUCCUGCACUCACCUACAAUUGUGCUUGGGAGGUAUGUGAAUAAAUUAAUAAGAUACAUUCUCUUUUGUCAAAGAGUUUAUAGGCUGGUAAAGGAAAUUAAACAAUUUUGUAAACAUUUGACAUUUUAAAACUUAACUUGUAGGCUGUAUUCAUUUACUAAAGAGCCUUGGCGGCGCAGUGGUUAAGCCAUUUGGCUGCUAACUGAAAGGUUGGUGGUUCAAACUCCCCAGCUGCUCUGCAGGAGAAAGAUGUGGCGGUCUGCUUCCGUAGAGAGUACAACCUUGGAAACCCAAUAGGGCAGUUCUACUCUGUCAUAUAGGGUUGCUAUGAGUCAGAAUUGGCUUGAUGGCAAGAGGUUUGGUUUUUUGGUUUCAGUAUUCAUUUACUGCCUGACUCUAUCAAGGGUAUGGAAACAUUAACAGGCAUUCACUGAGGGCUGACCAUGUUCUGAGCAGAGCAUUCAGGGAAAAAAGGGGUUAAAAAAAAAAAGCAGAAGCAAAACACAGACCUUCUACUCCAAGAACUUACCCGUUAGUGUGGGGGCGGAUAGACUCCAAGCAGUUGCAUUAUGGAGGAGAAUGAGUCAGUUCAACAAAAGAGGUGCUCCAUCUAAGUGGUGACAGGUUACAGGAUGGAGAGAGAGCACAUGUGACUGGGGCAACUGGGAAAGGCUUAUUAGAGGAGGCGGACGGAUUGUGCCCAGAAUUAGCCAAACUGCAAAGUUUGAAGAGCAGUUCUCAAGAUUGCCUUCGUUUCUAACACCAACUGCAAGUUCAGGGGGUUCCCCAAACCACCCUCAGUUUCGAUACUUCACUAGAAGGACUCACAAAACUCAUUGAAAGCUAUGACACUUGUGGUUACAGUUUAUUACAAGAAAGGAUACAGAGUAAAAAUCAGCCAAAGGAAGAGACACUAGGACAGAGCCUGGAGGAGUUCCAGAUGCGUAGCUUUGUUGUCUUCUCCUGUGGAUGCAUUACCCUCCCAGCAUUGAUAUGUGACAACAUGCAUGAAGUAUUGCUAACCAAGGAAGCUCACUCCAUUUUUUGAGUAUCUACCAUUGGCAAACGAGUCCCUGGGUGGUACAAAUGGUUAAGUGCUCGACUAAUACCCGAAAGCUUGGCGGUUCAAACCCACCCAAAGGCACUUCAGAAGAAAGGCCUGGCAAUCUGCUUCCAAAAAGUCACAGCCUUCAAAACCCCAUGGAGCCAUUCUACUCUGCACUCAUGAGGACACUGUGAGCCAGAAUCAACUGGAUAGCAACUAAGAACAAAAAUAACACUAUGGGAAAAUGUUCUUUUUGGAUCUCAGUUCCAGAGUUUUUAUUGAGACUUCAUUGAUGGACUGAUUGAUUGUCCACGUGGUUGAACUCAGUUAACUUGGAUGACCCAAAGCCUUCAUCCUAAAUAGUAUGGUUGGUAUUUCUUGUGGGCCGAGCCCCACCCUAAAACUGUCAGGUGUGGCCAGUCGCAUCCUAAGAAAUGGGUGUGGCCAGACCUUCUCUACAGCCCUAAACAAAGACGCUUCUCUCAGGGAUGACAUAGAUGACCUCUCAUAAGCCCAAGGCAAAAGCCAGACCUCUCUUUGGGCAAGGUCAAAUUCUUUACUGCACAGUCUGGGAUCAGAGGAGAUGGUAGGAGAUAGAAAAAUCUAGGUGGGCAGAAGGAUGUGUGCAGUUGUCACAAGUUGGCUUCUCUAGAAGCAGACACUGAGACGGAGUUUAUUAGGUGUCAAAACUUACGAAGGGAGAGGAAGCAAGAUUGGGCAGAGGAAGGAGUGGAGAUAUAAUUCAGGCUUGACAAAGCCUCAGCCAACCCGGCAGGGAACUCUGCAAGGUAUAGUGUCUGGCAGAGUUGUCCCGGGAUAGCUUGGAAUGGCCAGGCCUUUAUUCGUGCCAUUUCACACAGCCUCAGGCUGCAGGCUGCCCUGGGACAUGACCUCAGGUGAGACAGCUCUCCGUAGCUGAGGCAGAGUUGUUGAAUGAAAAGUGACUUGACGGGCUCUACUUUGGGAAACAUAAACUGUAGCAGCUUGAGGGACAGAUUCAAGGCUGAAGGUGUAGGUUCAUCAUUGGGCUGUUUGCCCAGUUCCUCUUCUCCAGGAAUGGCCCCACCCCUUCCACAUACAUGGCAACAGUGCUUGGCACAAUGAGACCUUGUCCCCAGACCACAGUUGAGCAGCCCAAGGCUAGGGGCCUGACCCUAGUUGGGUAAAUCAGAGGCCCUUAGGAAUUUGGAGUUGAGCCUAAGAAAUUCCAGUUCCUGUCUGGUGUGGUCUCUUGAAUGGAGGUGUAAAAAUUCAGCUGUGGGUCGAUGGCCAUAUUUUUGACCAUGGGGCCUGAAUAACAGGGCAAAGAUGUGCAGGCUAAAAUCACCAAGAGCUACACAGAAAGAGGUACUAUCUUAGUCUGAGUUCUCUAGAGAAGCAAAACUAGUGAAGUAUAUACAGAUAUGUACAGAGAGAAGUUUACUUCAGAGAAAUGGCUCACAGAGUUGUGAAGAAAUGCCUCAUACAAUUUUGGGGGCUAGAAAGCCCAAAUUCUGGGGUCAGGCAACAGGCUGAAGACCUCUGCUGGCUCAGGUGGUUGCAGGGGCUGACGAACCUAAAAUCUGCAGGUCAGGAGGCAGGCUGGAGGCCUCUGCUGGCUCACGGGAUUGCCGGGGUAGGCGAGUUCAAAAUCUGCAGGUCAGGUGGCAGACCAGAGACUUCUGCAUGCUUAUGUCCCAAAAACUGGAGGUCAGGUGACAAGAAGAUUGCAGGGAUGAGAAAAAAGAGCAAACUCUACCAGAGCAUCCAUUUACAUACUGGAGGCGGGCUCUACCCCCAAAGAAACCCCGCUUUCAACUGAUUGACUGCUCUCAUCAGAUCACAGAAUGGGAGCUGAUUAUAUAGUGUCUGCCAAACCACCGAGAAUCAUAGACUAGGCAAGAUGACACACAGCAUUGACCACCACAGGCACCAAAAGAGCCUUGGUGACUUUCUUGUCCCUGACUCCAGCAUUUUUUUGAGGUUGCAUCAGUCACCUUUGUUAUCUUUCAGUGAAUCUUCCCUUCUGGACUUUUUUCUUUUUUAUCAAUAAAUCUCUUACUUGCUUCUGUUUUCCAAAAAGUCCUGUUAAUACAUGGGGAGACCGAACCAUAAAAACCAAACCAAUUGCCUUCAAGUCGAUUCUGACUCAUGAUGACACCACGCGUGUCAGAGUAGAACUGUGCUCCAUAGUGUUGUCAAUCAAUGACUUUUCAGAACUAGAUCACCAGACCUUUCUUCCAAGGUGCCUUUGGGUGGACUCAAACCUCCUACCUUUUGGUUAGUAGCUAAGAGCGUUAACUCUUUGCACUACCCAGGGAUUCCUCCUAUUGCAGUGAGGUAAGGAGAGGCUUAACAAAGGGGUGGCAGUUGAAAUGGAAAGAGGAUGGAUUUGAGAAACACUGUUACGAGAUAAAGUUUGGCAGCUAACUGAAUGUGGAGGGGGCAAAAAAGAAAGAAGAGAGCAAGAGCAUCGAUGCCUGUGGGAGGAUGGCAGUGCCAGAAACCAUAAUAUGGAAGUCAAGAAGAGGAAGUGGCUUGGAAGUGGGCAGGGCAUGGUGAUUUCAGCAUGGCUUUUGCUGUCAGGUGCUUCCCAAGUGCCUCACUUCACUCCAGCCUUCCUCCUGUCUGAACACCAGGAAACCCAAACCAAACCCACUGCCAGUGAGUUAAUUCUGACUCAUAGCAACCCUAUAGGACAGAGUAGAACUGCCCCAUAUGGUUUCCAAGAAGUGCCUUGGUGGAUUUGCACUGCUGACCUUUUGGUUAGCAGCCUUAGCUCUUAACCACUACACCACCAGGGUUUUCUGUCUAAACACAAUACUCCUGAACAACCUUCCUACCUCCAGCACAGCGCAUACUCUCUACCCAUCCACCCCCCAUCAACUUUUUCAUAAUUGCAUUCUUGUAUAUCUAAUUACGGUCCCUGAGUGGCACAAAGGAUUUACACUUGACUACUAACCUAAGAGGUUUACUAACCUAAAGGCUGGCAGUUUGAAUCCACCUAGUGGCACUGCAGAAGAAAGACCCCUGGCAAUCUGCUUACAUAAAGAUUAAAAAAAAAAAAAAACAGCCAAGAAAACCUUAUGAAGCAGUUUUACUCUGUAACACAUGGGGUCCGUGAGUGAGAAUCCACUCAGUGGCAAUGGGUUUGGCUUUUGGUUUUAUAACUAAUCAUUCAGGGGAAGUUUCUCUCUCUCUCGGCUCUAAAAGAAGGUCUUUGUCAUUAAUCUUCCCCCCUAGUCGAGGAGCUUCUCAGUGCAGGGAACCCAGCACCAAAGGACAUGUACUCCUGUUCUUCUUUCUUGGUGGUAUGAGGUCCCCAUGUCUCUCUGCUAGCUUCUCUUUUAUAUCUCGAAAGAGCUUGGGUUAAGACACAAUCUAACCUUGUAGAUCUCAUCAAUAUAACUACUGCUAAUCCAUCUCAUUAGCAUCAUAGUGAUAGGCUUUACAACAUACAGGAAAAUCACAUCAGAUGACAAAUGGUGGACAACCAUACAAUUCUGAGAACCAUGGCUCAGCCAAAUUGAUACACAUGUUUUUGGAGGACACGAUUCAAUCCAUGACACAGACAUAAAGUACACCAGUCAUAAAUAUGCAGCUUGAUAAAUGUUCACAUUCAUGUAACAAGAACCCAAAUCAAGAAAUGAAACAAGACCAGCACUCCAGAAGCCCCUUUUGGUCACCAUCCCCUUCCAAGAACACAGAUAUAUUUGUAAAAGCCCUGGGGGACACAAAUGGUUCAUGAGCAGCUACUAACUAAAAAGUGGACGGUUCGAACCCACCAGCAGCACCAUGGAAAAACGGUCUGGUGAUCUGCUUCUGUAAAGAUUGCUGCCAAGAAAACCCUAUGGAGCAGUUCUAAUCUCUAACACAUGGGGUCACCAUUAGUUGGAAUCAACUCAAUGACAACAGGUUUGGUUUUUCUCGAACAGCAGUCAGAAAGAUGGCUUGGAGGGGUUCAAACUAAAGGCAGAGAAAUUUGUUAGGAGGCAAGAGUCCAUGCAAGAGAUGAUAACGACUGGCGGUGACAGCAGGAAAGGAGAGGAAAGGUCCAAGUCAAGAGUCAUGAACGUGGUAAAAUUGACUAUGUUCUCUCCCCAGAAUUUGACAAUUGGAAUAUACUCUUCUAGGCAAUUGUGAUCUGAUUCUGAGAAUUUCCAAUGGCUUCUCUUUUAAUUUAAGGUACCCAAGAUCUGAUAUGUAGAAGCAAAUGUCUCUGCCCUCAAAGGGACUUGCAUCUCAAUGCACUGUCCCUUUUUAAGGAAGGAAAUACUUUGGUUGGCUUCCUGGCAUUUGUUUUUUGCUUUUUCUUUUUUAAAACUGGACCUUGCAAUAAGAGAUAACAGGCUCUUUCUGAGGACCUUUACCCUGAAGGAGUCUUUCUGCUGCUUGGAAGUGCUCACUGAGGCACUCUGGCAGAGCUAUGUGGCAUUGACUCAAGCCAUUUAAUUUCACAAACGCCCACGCAGUAUUAUAGGGAAAACAUUUUUAAAGUAAUGAAAAAAAAAAAAAAACGAUAAUUGCUAUACAUGUUUCUGCAAUCCUGACACAGUAAAAACUUGCCUGUAAACACUGUCCUUGAAGAAUUGGUUAACAGUAUGCGCAAUACAUGGCAAAGGAAGUAGUUUAUCUCACAAAGCCUUUAAAGAACAGACCGUUGCUUCUUCUUGUGAGUCUGUGGUGAUUCUAUAUGAUUGAAAAGGAUAAAGUAACAAGUUUCUAAAGAGGUAGAACCAAACCAAACCCAUUGCCAUCAAGUUGAUUCCCACUCAUGCAGACCUUAUAGGAUAGACUAGAACUGCCCCACAGGGUUUCCAAAGAGUAGAUGGUGGAUUCAAACUGCCGACCUUUUGGUUAGUAGCCGAGCUCUUAACCACUGCACCACCAAGGCUCCCAAAGGGGCAGGAUGGGGUAGAUUUAUGUGAAGUGGAAGUGUUCCCUAGCCUUAGUUAUCUCAACUGUAAAAUGAAGGCACUGGGUGAGACCUGUGGGUUUUUAUUCUGAUCUGUAGUGGUGGACCUCUCUUAGCACCUUAUUUUCCCUGCUCUAACUGGAUACAGAAACCCUGGUGGUGUAGCAGUUAAGUGCAAUGGUUGCUAACCAGAAGGAUGGCAGUUCAAAUCCACCUAAGUGCUCCUUGGAAACUCUAUGGGACAGUUCUACUCUGUCCUGUAGGGUCACUAUGAAUCAGAAUCAACUCGACCGAAACAGGCUUGGUUGUUUUGUUUUGUUUUUUAACUAGACUAUCUCUGCUCUCACCUGGUUAAGUAUUGGGUUUCCACGUAAGAUUUUGUUUGAAACAGGGACGGCAGAACUGAAACAGUGCUGGAAAAAACACUGGAUUAAAUCAAUGAGCUUCAAGGUCCCUUACAGCUCUAGAAUUUUAGGGAUCCAGCUAACAUAUGUGAAAAAUGAAAAGUCUUUGUGAAAAGUGCUGAAGAUACAAACUUUUUUUUUAGAAACCACAAUUCCUACCUACAAGAAAUUCGCCAGUUUAAGGUGUGGGUGUGAAACAAGAGUAUAAAAUUAAUGACAGUAACAUGAUAAGGCCUAAAAUGGAAGGACGAAUUGUUUGGGGAGAAGACUUUUUAGAGAAGGUGACAUUUAAGUAGGUGUUAAAUGAAGACUAGGAGCUCACCAGGUAGAGAAAGGCAGAGGUGGGGUGGGGGGUUAUUGCAGGCAGAGAGAUCAGCACAAGCAAAGUUAUGGAGACCAUGAGGUUGCAGGGUUGCAGAACCUCAGGCAGCUCACUAUGUUCACUGUAUACCUAGGGACCAUAGAGUACACAGUGAAUACAGCAGAAGAGCCCGUUCCCAGCCCCCAGUCCCUAGGCACUGUUUUUGCGUUGUUGCUGGAUUCUGCAAGUACAUGACCAGCUAACAAUAAGGUUGUUUAAUCAUUGACUGCACCGCUCCUUCCUUCCAUUAUUAUGUAACUCCACUGGAUAAGUAAAAGAAGAAUGUGUUGAUAAGACAGUGGGUUGGCCCACAACAAAAGCCUAGAAAAAGGAGAGUCAUAGCUAAGUGCACUAGCAGUGCUUGCCCAAAACUCUGUCCAGAGACAAGGAAGACCCAGCCCAGGGAAGUGACCUGUCCAGCCCAGGCCAGGACUUUCCUCUAUGCCCAGAGGAUUGUUUCAGCCUGAUGGCCCAGGUGCCCUUCAGCAAACAGGACUGUGUGUUUAAAUAUGAAAAGGGUCUGGGAGAAGGAGGCUCCCAGAACUGAAGAGACCGUCACUUUCCUCAAGGCAGGGAAGGAAGGAAGUGGGAGCUUGGGGGGCAGGGUCCAUGGGUGGUAUACUUCUGGACACCCAUUGACACACAGUACCCCAGCUUGAGGGUGGCCGUGUGGUGGGUCCAGAGAAGCUGGACCCAGAUACCAUGGCAUGGAAGUCUGGGUGAAAGCUCUCUGUGUUAUUGAAUCAGAGGAAAUGGAGCUGCCUUGUAAAUUGAACAAAGAGCAUCUCAGCAAUGACCAAGAUGAACCAAAGCCCAGAAGGUCUUUCCUCAAACUUUCUGGCCUUUUUUAAGCCUCCUGGGAUUUCUGUUCAUUCUAAGAAGAAAAAUUCUCAAUAAUAAGCCACUUUGCUGGACAAUGAGUGCUCAAAGUGAGCUCAAUUUGAUUUAGAGAGAUGAGAUGUGAUAUUUCUUGCACCCGAAUAUUGUGGAGCCGAUGCUUACCACUCUAAUGGCUUUUCCGUGGGUGUAAGACAUGAUGAGACCUGUAUUUUGGAAAGAUCACCCUGGCGGUUAUAAGGAGGAUGUACUUGAGAGGGAAUGACUGAGUAUGGGGAGACCCGUCAAGAAGCCAUUAUGGUAUUCCAGAUGAAGGAGUGAUGGGGACCUCAAACAGAGUCAGUACAGUAGACCGUACAUUAGAAUCACCUGGAAAUCUCAAAAGCCCAAUGCUCAGGUUACACCUCAGACCAAUUAAGUCUGAAUUGCUACUCGCAGUACCGAGGUAGUUUUGCAACACAGCUAAGGUUGAGAACCACUGCACCAAGAUUUCAAACUUAGUCAGCAGAGUAAAUAGGGUUGGUAUUAAAUGAGAUAGGGAACAGACAGUUCUUUGUGGUUAGGGUGUACAGUAGAUAGGGAGCGGGGAGAAAGAGCAAGUUCAGGCAGAAAAUAAUGAGUUCAGUUUGGGAUGUGCAAUUAAUGGCCUUAUGUCCCAGAGAUGGCUGAGAAUAGGAGCACGGGGGUGAAGGGUGAGCCUCGGAAAGGAGUGGGGUGUGACUUCCUCUUUAGUGAAAAAAACGGGUGGAUAAAGACUUGGAACAGCUGCCACAGGGAAUGGGAAGGUUCUGAAUUAGGAAUAACAACAACAAAAAGAAUUUAUGCAUCAAAGACUAGCAAUGAGGUGUUAGGUGAGACUGCUCUGUAUUCACUAUAAUAUUAACCCUGUAUUAAACUUGCAUUUGAAUUUGACCAACAAACGUUCAUCUCAAUCAGUGGUGUAGGUGACUUGUGCCAGUUUGCAAAAGAAGAUGGCAGAUUUAUAGGAAUUUUGCAAGUCAAUUAUUAAACACAGCCAUUAUUAAAAAUUAAAUUAUAUAAAUUUAAUACAUUAAAUAUACCACAUUAUAAGCAAAGAUAAUAAACUAUGAUCAUUACAUUCCAAUUAUUUUACUACGUUUUACUAUUAUCUGUGCUCUUGAGGAAAUUUACAUCUAGUGUAUGUAUAUUGUAGAAAUUUAUAAUGAUGUGCUAUUGUGCAUUUCUUCCUAGUUCUGUGUUUGAUGACCUCACGUUGAUCACUUGACAUUCGUCCUGAUGGAGUAUUUACACCAUGGAAAUCGGCAAAUCCUACAAAUAGGGGCUUACCACUUCCCAAGUUAGUUGUUAAACUUUUACCAGCGUAUUGCUGAUCUCAAUUCAUUCCAUAGGUUUUUCUUGAAAAAGUACUAGCACCAUGGUAUCCUCUGUGGGAAAAAUUAAAGACAUGUAAAAGUUUACUAUAGCACUGAAAUGGGAAAAUCAUUGAAUUGUGAACCUAGAGGCCCCAGCUCUAACCUGGCUCUGGCACUAACCAGCAGCGUUGGUAACAUCUCUCUUCUCAAA